AUUGAACGCUGGCGGCAGGCCUAACACAUGCAAGUCGAACGCGUGGCGGACGGGUGAGUAAUGUCUGGGAAACCGCCCCAUGGAGGGGGAUAACUACUGGAAACGGUAGCUAAUAUCGCAUAUCAUCGGAUGUGUCCAGAUGGGAUUAGCUCGUAGGUGAGGUAACGGCUCACCUAGGCGACGAUCCCUAGCUGGUCUGAGAGGAUGACCAGCCACACUGGAACUGAGACACGGUCCAGACUCCUACGGGAGGCAGAAGUGGGGAAUAUUGCACAAUGGGCGCAAGACUGAUGCAGCCAUGCCGCGUGUAUGAAGAAGGCCUUCGGGUUGUAAAGUACUUUCAGCGGGGAGGCGUUACCCGCAGAAGAAGCACCGGCUAACUCCGUGCCAGCCGCCGCGGUAAUAC
rnacentral:rRNA from 1 species